rfam:Roseovarius halotolerans strain CECT 8110 genome assembly, contig: 0001
CGCCAUCAUCAUACCUCCCUGUUGGACUUUGGCCGAGCUUAGUGCUCGGCCUUUUUU